rnacentral:rRNA from 1 species
GAACGCUAGCUACAGGCUUAACACAUGCAAGUCGAGGGGCAGCAUGACUGAAGCUUGCUUCAGUUGAUGGCGACCGGCGCGACGGGUGCGUAACGCGUAUCGAAUCUGCCCGUUACUCGGGGAUAGCCUUGCGAAAGUAAGAUUAAUACCCGAUGUUGUCAUUAUGCCGCAUGACAUGAUGACCAAAGGUUUACCGGUAACGGAUGACGAUGCGUCUGAUUAGGUAGAUGGCGGGGUAACGGCCCACCAUGCCGACGAUCAGUAGGGGUUCUGAGAGGAAGGUCCCCCACAUUGGAACUGAGACACGGUCCAAACUCCUACGGGAGGCAGCAGUGAGGAAUAUUGGUCAAUGGACGAGAGUCUGAACCAGCCAAGUAGCGUGCAGGAUGACGGCCCUCCGGGUUGUAAACUGUCUUUUAGUUGGGAAUAAAAAGGCGACGUGUCGCCUAUUGUAUGUACCAUCAGAAAAAGGACCGGCUAAUUCCGUG